rnacentral:rRNA from 1 species
AUGGCCACCUGCCUCUCUGAUUUAAUUAGUGAUCAUUCCCUUGAUUUUCUGGGUCUCUAGGAAACCAUGAAGAAAAACUUUUCCUCUAAAUGUAUGAGGAAACUUGAUCCUUUUAACACCUUUGAGUGGAUCUGGAUCCCCUCAUGUGGUAAGUCAGGUGGUAUUAUUGUGGGAGCUAGAAGAGACAGUUUGGAUAUUGAGUCUCACAAGAAGGGUAAAUACAUGAUCCAGUUGGAUCUUUGUGAUAGGAAGAGGAAAACUGACUGGAGCCUCCUGGUAGUGUAUGGCCCAUCCCAUGAAGAUAUGAAGGAGGAUUUUUUGCUAUAAUUGGAGGGUUUCUGUUCUAAUAUGGACCAACCCUAUAUUGUUGGAGGAGAUUUCAACAUUAUGAGGAAUAGUGGGGAUAAGAAUAAAAAGCUACAUGGCCAUAUAUCUAUGGACUUGUUCAACUCUGACAUUAAUUCCCUUGGCCUUAGAGAGAUAUUCUGCAGUGGGGGUAAAUAUACCUGGACUAACUCAGACCCACCCACUCUAGAGAAACUUGACAGGAUUUUGAUGCCCAGUGACUGGGAAGAUUUGUUUCCUUUAGUUACUGUCAGGAAGUUGGUUAGAGAACUAUAUGACCAUAAUCCCCUGCUUAUCUCCUCU